UCAUCCCUGCUCUGUGCGUGAUGGGCUUUCAAUGUUGAGCCAACGCCUUAAAAAAGGGGAUUACAAUACGUAGAGGGGAUGUAGUAGCCGUAAGGCAAGGCAGUAUCCUCACGAAAAAAUUCCCACCUGCAUUUGCAGGUUCAAACAACGAGGUUCACACGGCAUGGCGGGGUUCAU
rnacentral:other from 1 species